rnacentral:rRNA from 1 species
AGUAGUGGCGAGCGAAAAGGGAGUAGCCCAAACUUUAAAUGUGUCAAGCUGCAGAGCGUUGCAUUUAUGGGGUUGUAGGACGUUUAGGCUUAGUCUGUAAUAAGCAAAAAAGUUACAAAAUAUUUAUAUAGAAGAAUAAUCUGGAAAGUUUAACCAAAGAAGGUGAUAGUCCUGUAAUUUAAAUGUAAAUAUCUUUUUANAAUGUUCCUGAGUAGGACGAGGCACGAGAAACCGGUGGUGAAGCUGGGGAGACCACUCUCCAAGGCUAAAUACUAGAAAGCUACCGAUAGAGAAGAGU